rnacentral:rRNA from 1 species
CAGUAGCCACGGUAAUACGAAGGGGGCUAGCGUUGUUCGGAUUUACUGGGCGUAAAGGGCGCGUAGGCGGACUGAUAAGUCAGGGGUGAAAUCCCAAGGAUCAACCUUGGAACUGCCUUUGAUACUGUUUGUCUUGAGUUCAAGAGAGGUAAGUGGAACUGCGAGUGUAGAGGUGAAAUUCGUAGAUAUUCGCAAGAACACCAGUGGCGAAGGCGGCUUACUGGCUCGAAACUGACGCUGAGGCGCGAAAGCGUGGGGAGCAAACAGGAUUAGAUACCCCCGUAGUCCCUGUCUCUUAUAA